rnacentral:piRNA from 1 species
UGUGCAGAACUACAGCCAGAAUAUCUGAGA